rnacentral:tRNA from 1 species
GGUCGCGUAGCUCAGCUGGAUAGAGCACCUGCCUUCUAAGCAGGCGGUCUCAGGUUCGAAUCCUGACGCGAUCAC